AACUCUAUUUUCCCUUUAGUUCCUAGUUGGAUGUCAACGGCAAGAGAGAAAAUUUUGCAGCAACAUUGUGCUCAGCUAUUCUGAAUCCAUCUGUGAUUUCCAUCAAGAAUUUAUUUUAAACUGCGGCAAUCCGCUGGUGCUGCAAGUUACAAAGUUAUUUCACCUAUUAGAGAAUUCAGACUAAACCAAGAGCACUCAAUAAAAAGUGUAUCCAGUAAAUAUACAGCCUUUUCAUGGAAUACUUCUUGUAACCGAAGAUAUUUCUGAAAUAUUUAUUGAUAUCACAUCAACUCUGGAACCUUUCCCUACUGGAGGAUUGGAAGAACUUUUUUUCAGCUGCAAAUAGUUGGAAGGUCCGAUUUUGAAAUUCUUCGACACACGGGGCAGGAUUAGCAAAGAGUAAGAUUAAAAGAAAUCUUUUUGCAUCCUAUUGAUGGUCGAAUGGAGAGUAAUAUCUGCUUUUUAGCUAGAAAUCAAGCCUUCAGAAAGAACAAAGAUUCAUUUUGAGAAAGUUAUCCAUCUUUUACUACCAAAUCGUUCCAAUCCCUCAUCCUGGAGAGGGGCCUGUGGUGGUUGUCAUUUGAUGAUUCUCUGGAAAAACUGAAUGCCAGAGUUUUUGCUUUUACAAGAAAUAUAUUAUUCUAUCAUUCGUAAAAAACUAUCGACAAACUCCACCCUUAUUAAAUUCUUACUGCAGCUUCAAAGAGUGGUGGACCGAUACCGUGGAUAUAAUAUGUAAUGAGAAGAGAGAAUAAAACAUCUUAAUCUCGAAGAAAUAUAUUAUCAAUUCGACAGGGAAAUUUUGUUACGAUAACAAUUCUGGUAUACGAUAACAAUUCAACAUACAAAGACAUCCUCU